AGAGUUUGAUCCUGGCUCAGGAUGAACGCUGGCGGCGUGCCUAACACAUGCAAGUCGAGGGGAAACGACAUCGAAAGCUUGCUUUUGAUGGGCGUCGACCGGCGUACGGGUGAGUAACGCGUAUCCAACCUGCCCACCACUUGGGGAUAACCUUGCGAAAGUAAGACUAAUACCCAAUGAUAUCUCUAGAAGACAUCUGAAAGAGAUUAAAGAUUUAUCGGUGAUGGAUGGGGAUGCGUCUGAUUAGCUUGUUGGCGGGGUAACGGCCCACCAAGGCAACGAUCAGUAGGGGUUCUGAGAGGAAGGUCCCCCACAUUGGAACUGAGACACGGUCCAAACUCCUACGGGAGGCAGCA
rnacentral:rRNA from 1 species